GACGAACCGUGCGAACGUUGUUCGGAAUCACUGGGCUUAAAGGGCGCGUAGGCGGGCUGACAAGUCUGGGGUGAAAUGCCGCGGCUCAACCGUGGAACUGCCUUAGAUACUGUCGGCCUCGAGGAAGGUAGGGGCAUGCGGAACUGUAGUUGGAGCGGUGAAAUGCGUUGAUAUCUACAGGAACUCCGGUGGCGAAAGCGGCGUGCUGGACCUUUUCUGACGCUGAGGCGCGAAAGCUAGGGGAGCAAACGGG
rnacentral:rRNA from 1 species